rnacentral:rRNA from 1 species
UACGUAGGGUGCGAGCGUUAAUCGGAAUUACUGGGCGUAAAGUGUGCGCAGGUGGCCGCGCAAGUCGAGUGUGAAAUCCCCGAGCUUAACUUGGGAAUUGCGCUCGAAACUACGUGGCUCGAGUGUGGCAGAGGAAGGUGGAAUUCCACGUGUAGCGGUGAAAUGCGUAGAGAUGUGGAGGAACACCGAUGGCGAAGGCAGCUCGCUGAGCCGAAACUGACGCUGAGGCACGAAAGCGUGGGGAGCGAACAGG